UGAAGGUGUAAAUGGUCUGGCCUGCUCACUGAUAAAAUUAUUUAAGAGCCGCGGUAUAUUGACCGUGCAAAGGUAGCAUAAUCAUUAGAGGUUUAAUUGGAAUCUAGAAUGAAGGGUCUGACAAAGGAAAAACUGUCUGUAAAAUAUAAUUUGAAGUUUACCUUUAAGUGAAAAGGCUUAAAUAAAUCAAAGGGACGAUAAGACCCUAUAAAGCUUUAUAAAAAAUUUAAAUUUGACUAAUUUAAAACAUAAAUGUUAAACUUAAUUGUUUUAUUUUGUUGGGGUGAUGUGAGUAUAAUUGUGAUUAACUGCUUAUAAAAUUUUCUUUUAUAAGAGAUUUGUUUUUGAAUAAAUGAUCCUUUUUAAAGAUUUAAAGAUUAAGUUACUUUAGGGAUAACAGCGUUAUUUCUCUUGAGAGUUCAUAUCGAAAGAGGAGAUUGCGACCUCGAUGUUGAAUUAAAAUAUCUAUAUAGUGCAGCCACUAUAAAAGAGGGUCUGUUCGACCUUUAAAUU
rnacentral:rRNA from 1 species